rnacentral:lncRNA from 1 species
ACUAAACUAACAACAACAAGUAAUAUGAUUAAUUUUAAAUCACAUACAUGUAUACUACUUAUCAAGUUCUAUUACAGCUCUUUCAUCAUUUCUUUUUACAUCUCAUAUCUCCAAAAUAUAACAUUGAUAUUAAAUAAAUUCUUUUACAUCAUUCAUAUCCUUUCAUUUAACAACUAUAAUCAUCGAAAUACAAAAGAUGAUAUAUCAAAAGGGUAUACAACUAU